AUAUUGGACAAUGGGUGAAAGCCUGAUCCAGCCAUCCCGCGUGAAGGAUGACGGUCCUAUGGUUUGUAAACUUCUUUUGUACAGGAAUAAACCUACUCUCGUGAGAGUAGCUGAAGGUACUGUACGAAUAAGCACCGGCUAACUCCGUCCCAGCAGCCGCGGUAAUACGGACGGUGCAAGCGUUAUCCUGAUUUAUUGGGUUUAAAGGGUACUUAGGCGGACCCGUAAGUCAGUGGUUAAAUCUCAUAGCUUAACUAUGAAACUGCCAUUGAUACUGCGGGUCUUGAGUAAAUUUGAAGUGGCUGGAAUAAGUAGUGUAGCGGUGAAACGCAUAGAUAUUACUUAGAACACCAAUUGCGAAGGCAGGUCACUAAGAUUUAACUGACGCUGAUGGACGAAAGCGUGGGUAGCGAACA
rnacentral:rRNA from 1 species